AGGAAUAUAGUUAAUUUAUAAUAUUUAUUUUGCUAAUAAAAGUUAUUUAUAAAAAUUAUUCUUA
rnacentral:tRNA from 2 species